rnacentral:rRNA from 1 species
CAGUCGCCGCGGUAAUACGAGGGGUGCAAGCGUUAUUCGGAUUGAUUGGGUGUAAAGGGUGUGCAGACGGCUUAUUAAGUCACUUGUUAAAUUCUUCGGCCUAACUGAAGGUCUGCAAGUGAUACUGAUGAGCUAGAGGGUGGAAGAGAGAAGUGGAAUUCUCGGAGUAGCGGUAAAAUGCGUAGAUCUCGAGAGGAACACCAAUGGCGAAGGCAGCUUCUUGGUACAUUCCUGACGUUCAUACACGAAAGCGUGGGGAGCAAACAGGAUUAGAUACCCGCGUAGUCCCUGUCUCUUAUAC